rnacentral:rRNA from 1 species
CGGCACGGGUGAGUAACACGUAUGCAACCUGCCUUGCCACAGCCGGAUAAUCGGGAGAAAUUCCGUCUAAUACGGCAUAAUGCAUCGACGGGACAUCCUGUUGGUGCCAAAGGUUAAUUCCGGUGGCGGAUGGGCAUGCGUCGCAUUAGUUAGUUGGCGGUGUAACGGACCACCAAGACGACGAUGCGUAGGGGUUCUGAGAGGAAGGUCCCCCACACUGGUACUGAGACACGGACCAGACUCCUACGGGAGGCAGCAG